AUAGAUGGGUAGAGUGGAGAGGUGGGUGGGUGGGGGGAUGGACAGGCUACAAGUCACUAGAGUUUAGAUACAGUUAGUGAUCGACACGUUGAGAUGGAACGCACCUGUCCUCUACUCUUGCUGUUGAGUACACUGGUAUACUGUAGCCUCGGACAAGGUGGAGCCUCUCUGAGUGUCAGUCCUGACAGAUCUCAGUUCUUUGAAUAUGAGUCUGUCUCUCUGAGCUGUGAGGUUCAGGGGAACUCUGCUAGAUGGAGAGUGGUGAGGAACACAUCGAGAGGAAUCCUUUCAGAGUGUAGUACUGACUGGGGAAAACAACAAGGGUCUUCAUGCAACGUGUCACUAAAACCAUCAGACAGUGGAGUGUACUGGUGUGAGUCUGGGUCUGGAGAACACUGCAAUGCUGUCAACAUC